UACAGAGGUCUCAACCGUUGUUCGUAUUCAUUGGGCGUAAAGGGUGCGUAGGCGGUCGGGUAUGUCGGAUGUGAAAUCCCAGGGCUCAACCCUGGAACUGCAUUCGAUACUGCCUGGCUAGGGUACUGGAGAGGAGACUGGAAUUUACGGUGUAGCAGUGAAAUGCGUAGAUAUCGUAAGGAAGACCAGUGGCGAAGGCGAGUCUCUGGACAGUUACCGACGCUGGGGCACGAAGGUCAGGGGAGCAAACGGG
rnacentral:rRNA from 1 species